GCAGCUAAAGCACACUAUGAAGUUCAUUAUUAACAUCCGUGAGAGCCAUAGAUGAUUCAAUUGUGCGAAUGGUGCAUCUCAAUUUCUUUAAAAAAGAUAUUUGUAUUAAACUAUAACUAUCAAUUUUCACUAUCAAUUAUCAUGUGUGCGAAUGGCGCGUCUCGGUAGUACCAUAUACGAUGUAGCAAUAGAAUAAACUUAUCCUUCAGAAGAUCGACAAAAUGAAGCAAGACAUUUCAGACUUUGCACCUGUGGGUUUAAUUUUGAUAAAACUAAUCAAUUUCUAAAUACAAGGCACAAAAUGGCUAUUUGAAAUCAGUCAAUUUCCUUUGAGCACAAACCAAAACCAAACGGCCAUCUACUGUUCUAUUCAACUUCAAAUACAAGUAGCAACUUGACAACAUAAUUUAAAUAAGGAAAAAUCAAGGAAAGAAUAAGUAGCACACAGACCUAACCAAACAAAGAAGAUAUGCCAAAAUCUUAUUUUAGAAAAAACAAUUUAAAACUAAUCAAAUGCAACAAGAAUAAAAUUAGGAUUGAAUGAUGAACAAAACUUCAGUAUCGAACCUUUUCAGAAGCAAAAUUGAAGCACUUAAUUGGAUUCUAAUGUAUAAAACAUGUAUGCACACCCACAUCAAUAACUAAGAAAACAUCACUUAAAUUGGAAUAUACUGAAUAUUCUCCAACCGACCUAAAUAGUUUCCAGAUUCUUCGAAUUUCGAACAUAGAAAUGAGAUGGAAAGUAGAAGGGAUUAACCUGAGAAAUAUUUCUUUAAUUAGUUCAAUUUGCAAGCCAUUACAAGUCAAGUUGGAAUUUCCGCACCAACAAGGAACUCCAACGUCAACUUCUUCAAAUUUCAUUCGGAUGAUGUCCUUGAACAAUAGAACCAAAAACUUCACUAGAAACCUCGAACGGAACUAUGAUCCAGCCUCAAUCGGACUCCAUCAAAUGGAUGAGGUAUCGUGAUUUUGGUUGAAGAAGAAAUGGAAUGUUCAAGGGUCGUUUGGAGUGUCAGCGGCUAUAGCUUAUUUCGAUUAAGGUUCUCUAGGGUAUGUGUAAAGGAAGCUUGCUGGGGGAGGGAGGGUUUUUAGCUGGUUUUUCAAUUGAAGAAGAUGAACGAUGGGGUCAUUCUUGGGAUGGGAUCGUUUUUGUUUGCUGAAUAUCAACGCCACCGCUUUUUGGUCCUUAGGUCUAUUAUGUUAUGUCUCGCUUAAUCUAAGGUCUACUGAAGAAGAAACAUUUUAGGAGGGGCGGGGUGAAGAAGAUGAAAUGACCGGCGUCCGAUUUUUGAUGAAGUGGCGGAUCCCUUUUAAGUCAUAGAGUCUAGGUUUUUAUUUUGUGUAAUCCUUU
rnacentral:lncRNA from 1 species